rnacentral:rRNA from 1 species
UUAUUGGGCGUAAAGCGAGCGCAGGCGGUUAGAUAAGUCUGAAGUUAAAGGCUGUGGCUUAACCAUAGUACGCUUUGGAAACUGUUUAACUUGAGUGCAGAAGGGGAGAGUGGAAUUCCAUGUGUAGCGGUGAAAUGCGUAGAUAUAUGGAGGAACACCGGUGGCGAAAGCGGCUCUCUGGUCUGUAACUGACGCUGAGGCUCGAAAGCGUGGGGAGCAAACAGGAUUAGAUACCCUGGUAGUCAAGGGCGAAUUCGC